CACAGUUAACAUCAAUUUAAAUGAAAGCAUACCGUUAAGCCAUCUAAAAAGUAAAAACAAAGUUAUAAGGGUAAAAGGCAUUGUAUUACACGAAUAAAAAAACAACAAAAACAAAAAAUCAAUUAACCUAAGUAAACAAAACAAAUAAAUGCCCCGACCUGCCGCUAACGUUCGGCAGCGGCAGUGUUGGUAGAUAGGGGAGGGACCAUGUUGCACCAAUGACGGAACGCCUAGCUUGUGGUUAGAUGGGCCUGAACCUGAACCCUGAACUCUACCAGGACUUUCUGUCGUACUUUGCCUGGUAGAGUUCAGGUGCACGAGAUGGAGUUGCACUUUUUGGUGAUCCAACGACAUGUCUGAUCGGGCAUAAGUUGUGCUGCUGUCGGCAUUUUAAAGCGCUCUAAUUCUACAUGUAUUUAAUGGCGAAAAAACUUCAUAUUUCCAUUCUUUGCCCCAACAUGCCAUUGGCUACUUGACCAAAGCUGAAAUCACAUGACUAUCAGACCUAGUUACCAAAAUUAUCCCUUAGUUACCAUCUCCAGUUCUCCACCAUUGGCAAUCGUCUGCUUUAUUGAUUUUAGCUUUGCGAAAGUCUUAAAAUUGUUUCGCUGAGGGCAGCACAUUGAAAGAGGCGUCGGCUGAGAUCAAGUUGAUUUAUCGAGAGACGAGAGAUUCGAGACGUGUUCAGCGGGGAGCUAAUAAAUGUUCAGUGCGUUCCGUUCUAAACAUUCUUUUGUCUACUCGUUAAUACACUGAAAUUUGCCAUUUUUUCGUACCAACCUAAGGGACACUCUUUUUCAAAACCCACAUGAUUGUUUUAGGUUGAUUUACGUUUUACUAAAACGUAAACUGUUCACGGAUUAAAUGUGAAGUAUGUGUUGGCUAGAUGGUGAAGUAUUGAAUCGUUAAAAGACCUGAAAAGAAUCGAUUCUUUGGAAGGCCAAAGCCCUAUCCUUUAGCCUGGGACUGGGAGGAGUAUAGCGGAGAAAGCAGUUGCUAUCCCACUACAGGGGCGAGUUGAACCCAUAGCUGUCCGGGGAGUGGAAGCCGCCACCAGUUGGCAGCACAAUGAGUGCACAUGAAAUCGACGAUGAUGUUAGUCAUGAAGACUAUCAAAAAUUGGGCAAAUGUUUCGUCCAAAUUCUUUCACGGAAAUUCUAACUUCCCUUGUUGCGGACAAACUACCCCAAGUUGGUUGUGAAGAACACAGGAUAGUCUGCACUUCACUUCUUCCACCCCCUGGACAGCUGUGGGUUACAGCGCGGGAUAGAACUGCUUUCUCCUCUAUACUCCUCCCUGCUUUAGCAUUGGCGUAUUUAUCGUCUGCACGUUAAGACGCCGAGAUUCAGAGACCUUGUUGCACGGGCACUAGUACACCCGAGUCCAUAAAUAUCUACCCCCCAAAAAAGGCGCGAAACAUAAAAGUACCGCAACAAAAUUAGUUUUGCGCUUACUGUCAUUGUAAGCUGAUGGAAAGUAUGCGUAGAGUUGUGACGAAAAAAAUGUUUCUAACUCUUUGUAUACUCGCCGUGCCGAACUGCCGAUGCAUAACACUAUGCACAAAAACAAUUUUGCAGCGGUAGACGAUUUUUAUUUUUCGCGCCUUUUUGGGGGGGGUAGAUAUUUAUGGACUCGGGUGUAGGGCUCGGCCCCGUAUCCAAUGGGUAGGUAUUUGGGCGAAUGGGUAGGUCUUCUCGGCAAAAAAAUUUGAUCCGGUGGGUAACGGUUCCUAAGACUUUGUGCCCACUACCUACCGACGC
rnacentral:lncRNA from 1 species